rnacentral:rRNA from 1 species
GUUGAACGCUGGCGGCGGGCCUAAUACAUGCAAGUCGAGCGAACAAACGAGGAUCUUUCUCCGCUUACGUGAGCGGCGGACGGGUGAUUAACACGAGUAUAACCGACCUAUAAGACUGGGAUAACGUCGGGAAACCGGAUCUAAUACCGGAUAAUAUGUUGAACCUCAUGGUUCAAUAGUCAAAAACGUUUUUGCUGUCACUUAUAGAGAGAUGCUCGCUGCAUUAGCUAGUGGGUAAGGUAAAGGCUUACCAAGGCUACGAUGCGUAGCCGACCUGAGAGGGUGAUCGGCCACACUGGAACUGAGACACGGUCCAGACUCCUACGGGAGGCAGCAGUGGGGAAUAUUGCGCAAAGGGCGAAAGCCUGACCGAGCAAUGCCGCGUGAGUGAUGAAGGUCUUCGGACCGUAAAACUCUGUUAGUUGGGAAGAACAAAUGUGUAUGUAAAUCUGCCCGUUUUGACGGUACCAACUCAGAAAGCACCGGCUAACUACGUG